AUGAUGUAUAAUUGGUCCACUUUAAAGCAUAACUCCAUUUUUCUGACCAAUGUGAUAACAUAAGGCAGGAGAAUGAAAUGUUGAACUUGGUAAAAAUUAAGUUUGACCUAUCUUCUUUGCUCAUGCUUGAGCAGGCCCAUAAAGGUUCAAUUGAACCCAGUAGCAAAUGUUCCCAUUUUUUUUUUGGGCCUA